GGUCGCGUAACACGUAAGAAACCUGCCUCGAAGCUGGGGACAACGGCCCGAAAGGGCCGCUAAUACCGAAUGUGGACAUCUUGUCGCAUGGUGAGAUGUUUAAAGCUUAAUGCACUUCGAGAUGGUCUUGCGGCCUAUCAGGUUGAUGGUGGGGUAACGGCCUACCAUGCCGACGACGGGUAGCUGGUCUGAGAGGACGAUCAGCCGGAUUGGGACUGAGAUACGGCCCAGACUCCUACGGGGGCAGCAAUUAGGAAUCUUGCGCAAUGGGCGAAAGCCUGACGCAGCGACGCCGCGUGAGGGACGACGGCCUUCGGGUUGUAAACCUCUUUUGCCGGGGAAGAAGAACGUGACGGUACCCGGUGAAUAAGCCCCGGCUAACUACGUGCCAGCAGCCGCGGUAAUACGUAGGGGGCGAGCGUUGUCCGAAGUUACUGGGCGUAAAGCGCGCGUAGGCGGCUCUUUAAGUCUGGGGUGAAAGGUUCAGCGCUCAACGCGAACAGUGCCCUCGGAUACUGGGGAGCUUGAAUGUGGCAGAGGAUAGUGGAAUGGCUGGUGUA
rnacentral:rRNA from 1 species